CUCCCUUGCGGAAAACGAUUCCUCUCAUUUCUAUUAUCCUCUUUCUCUCAAAACCCUAAACCGUCGCCAAUCAUAAUAAUCAGAUUCUGCAAGUUCUUUAUCUUCUUUAUUGUCCUUUAUUGAUUUUAUUGGUAAUUAUGAUUUCUUCUUGCAUUUUUUUUAUCUCGACAAUCAAUUAUGUCCCAAUUUAACAAAUUUUUCUUUUGGUCUUCUUACAGUAAAAUUUGAUGUGAUGAAGAGGGCAAUGCCAUGGGAUGAUCAUGAUGAGGCAAAUGAUUCAUCAUCUUCUGACGAAUCUUCAUCUUCAAAUCCGGACUCUGAAGCUGAAGAUGGACCUCCCAACACCAAGCUUAAGAACUCAUCACAAGGUGUUACAGUUUACUCUCCUUUCCUCCUUUUUCCCCUUCAUUUUUAUGCUUUUCCUUCAUUUUUGACAUUUUACUGAAUUGAAUGGAAUGGAUAUUUUCCUCGAUUUUGAUUCUUUUGGUACGUAAAUUAGAAUAAAUAUUAUAGAAGAAUGCUUGUGUUUAUUACAAUAAAUAUUAUUGAAACUAUGGUUAUUCUGAAUAGCUGAAUCAUAAUUUUGCUUGCUAGAGGGUGGUACUGCCAUUUGUGUUUAUAGCUGUGCAACAAAGGGGCGAAACCAUGUCACCUUAUUUAUAUGAGAACAAACUCUGAAGACUGCUGGUUUACUUGAUGUUUCUAAAUAUUGCCAUUAGCAUUGUACUGAUUAGGCUAGAUUUAUAUAAACUCAUAUAUUAUUAUAGAUUGCUGAAUUUUCCUUAUUGUUGUGCCCCUUUAAGUUUAAAUAUAUUCUUUGAUUUUUUGACUAAAAGAAAAGGCAUACCUGG
rnacentral:lncRNA from 1 species